rnacentral:rRNA from 1 species
CUUAGUGAUCCGGCGGUGCUGAAUGGAAAGGCCGUCGCUCAACGGAUAAAAGCU